GAUGAACGCUGGCGGCGUGCUUAACACAUGCAAGUCGAACUGAAAGGCCCUGCUUUUGUGGGGUGCUCGAGUGGCGAACGGGUGAGUAACACGUGAGUAACCUGCCCUUUACUUUGGGAUAACUUCAGGAAACUUGGUCUAAUACCGGAUAGGAGCUCCUUCUUCAUGGUGGUGUUUGGAAAGUUUCGGCGGUUGGGGAUGUACUCGCGGUUUAUCAGUUUGUUGGUGGGGUAGUGGCUUACCAAGGCUUUGAAGGGUAGCCGGCCUGGGAGGGUGACCGGCCAAAAUGGGACUGAGGUACGGGCCAGAAUCCUACGGGAGGCAGCAGGGGGGAAUAUUGCAAAAUGGGCGGAAGACUGAUGCAGCGACGCCGCGUGCGGGAUGACGGCCUUCGGGUUGUAAACCGCUUUCGCCUGUGACGAAGCGUGAGUGACGGUAAUGGGUAAAGAAGCAACGGCUAACUACGUG
rnacentral:rRNA from 1 species